UUUGAACGCUAGCGACAGGCUUAACACAUGCAAGUCGAGGGGCAGCACAGGUAGCAAUACCGGGUGGCGACCGGCGCACGGGUGAGUAACGCGUAUGCAACUUGCCUAUCAGAGGGGGAUAACCCGGCGAAAGUCGGACUAAUACCGCAUGAAGCAGGGGCCCCGCAUGGGGAUAUUUGCUAAAGAUUCAUCGCUGAUAGAUAGGCAUGCGUUCCAUUAGGCAGUUGGCGGGGUAACGGCCCACCAAACCGACGAUGGAUAGGGGUUCUGAGAGGAAGGUCCCCCACAUUGGUACUGAGACACGGACCAAACUCCUACGGGAGGCAGCAGUGAGGAAUAUUGGUCAAUGGGCGUAAGCCUGAACCAGCCAAGUCGCGUGAGGGAUGAAGGUUCUAUGGAUCGUAAACCUCUUUUAUAAGGGAAUAAAGUGCGGGACGUGUCCCGUUUUGUAUGUACCUUAUGAAUAAGGAUCGGCUAACUCCGUGCCAGCAGCCGCGGUAAUACGGAGGAUCCGAGCGUUAUCCGGAUUUAUUGGGUUUAAAGGGUGCGUAGGCGGCCUUUUAAGUCAGCGGUGAAAGUCUGUGGCUCAACCAUAGAAUUGCCGUUGAAACUGGGGGGCUUGAGUAUGUUUGAGGCAGGCGGAAUGCGUGGUGUAGCGGUGAAAUGCAUAGAUAUCACGCAGAACCCCGAUUGCGAAGGCAGCCUGCCAAGCCAUUACUGACGCUGAUGCACGAAAGCGUGGGGAUCAAACAGGAUUAGAUACCCUGGUAGUCCACGCAGUAAACGAUGAUCACUAGCUGUUUGCGAUACACUGUAAGCGGCACAGCGAAAGCGUUAAGUGAUCCACCUGGGGAGUACGCCGGCAACGGUGAAACUCAAAGGAAUUGACGGGGGCCCGCACAAGCGGAGGAACAUGUGGUUUAAUUCGAUGAUACGCGAGGAACCUUACCCGGGUUUGAACGCAUUCGGACCGAGGUGGAAACACCUUUUCUAGCAAUAGCCGUUUGCGAGGUGCUGCAUGGUUGUCGUCAGCUCGUGCCGUGAGGUGUCGGCUUAAGUGCCAUAACGAGCGCAACCCUUGCCACUAGUUACUAACAGGUAAAGCUGAGGACUCUGGUGGGACUGCCAGCGUAAGCUGCGAGGAAGGCGGGGAUGACGUCAAAUCAGCACGGCCCUUACAUCCGGGGCGACACACGUGUUACAAUGGCGUGGACAAAGGGAAGCCACCUGGCGACAGGGAGCGAAUCCCCAAACCACGUCUCAGUUCGGAUCGGAGUCUGCAACCCGACUCCGUGAAGCUGGAUUCGCUAGUAAUCGCGCAUCAGCCAUGGCGCGGUGAAUACGUUCCCGGGCCUUGUACACACCGCCCGUCAAGCCAUGGGAGCCGGGGGUACCUGAAGUCCGUAACCGCGAGGAUCGGCCUAGGG
rnacentral:rRNA from 1 species